UUACGGUCAUACCACAUUGAAAUAUCGGCUCUCGUACGAUCACCGAAGUUAAGCAACGACUAAUCUGGUUAAUAUCAAGAUGGGUGACCGCUUGGGUAUAUCAGGUGCUAUA